CGUGUAGGCGGUCAAGUAAGUGGAAUGUGAAACGCCUCGGCUUACCCGAGGACCUGCAUCCCAAACUGCUUGGCUUGAGUAUGGGAGAGGAUGAGGGAAUUCCUGGUGUAGCGGUGAAAUGCGUAGAUAUCAGGAGGAACACCGGUGGCGAAAGCGCUCAUCUGGCCCAAUACUGACGCUGAGGCGCGAAAGCUAGGGAGCAAAC
rnacentral:rRNA from 1 species